rfam:Danio rerio chromosome 2, GRCz11 reference primary assembly.
CUUGUCCUCAAAUGUAAGUCGCUUUGGAUAAAAGCGUCUGCUAAGUGAAGUUUA